GAUGAACGCUGUCGGCGUGCUUAACACAUGCAAGUCGAACGAUUAAGCCCAGCUUGCCUGGUGGAUUAGUGGCUAACGGUUGAGUAACACGUGAGUAACCUGCCCUUGACUCUGGGAUAAGCCUUGGAAACUGGGUCUAAUACUGUAUAUGACUUCUCAUCGCUUGUUGGGGUGUGGAUAGAUUUAUUGGUCUUGGAUGUACUCGCGGCCUAUCAGCUUGUUGGUGAGGUAAUGGCUCACCAAGGCGACGACGGGUAGCCGGACUGAGAGGGUGACAGGCCACACGGGGACUGAGAUACGGCCAAGACUCCUAAGGGAGGCAGCAGUGGGGAAUAUUGGACAAAGGGCGAAAGCCUGAUGCAGAGAAGCCGCGUGAGGGAUGACGGCCUUCGGGUUGUAAACCUCUUUCAGUAGGGAAGAAGCGAGAGUGACGGUACCUGCAGAAGAAGCGGCGGCUAACUACGUG
rnacentral:rRNA from 1 species